UANUGCAGUCGAACGAACUCUGGUAUUGAUUGGUGCUUGCAUCAUGAUUUACAUUUGAGUGAGUGGCGAACUGGUGAGUAACACGUGGGAAACCUGCCCAGAAGCGGGGGAUAACACCUGGAAACAGAUGCUAAUACCGCAUAACAACUUGGACCGCAUGGUCCGAGUUUGAAAGAUGGCUUCGGCUAUCACUUUUGGAUGGUCCCGCGGCGUAUUAGCUAGAUGGUGGGGUAACGGCUCACCAUGGCAAUGAUACGUAGCCGACCUGAGAGGGUAAUCGGCCACAUUGGGACUGAGACACGGCCCAAACUCCUACGGGAGGCAGCAGUAGGGAAUCUUCCACAAUGGACGAAAGUCUGAUGGAGCAACGCCGCGUGAGUGAAGAAGGGUUUCGGCUCGUAAAACUCUGUUGUUAAAGAAGAACAUAUCUGAGAGUAACUGUUCAGGUAUUGACGGUAUUUAACCAGAAAGCCACGGCUAACUACGUGCCAGCAGCCGCGGUAAUACGUAGGUGGCAAGCGUUGUCCGGAUUUAUUGGGCGUAAAGCGAGCGCAGGCGGUUUUUUAAGUCUGAUGUGAAAGCCUUCGGCUCAACCGAAGAAGUGCAUCGGAAACUGGGAAACUUGAGUGCAGAAGAGGACAGUGGAACUCCAUGUGUAGCGGUGAAAUGCGUAGAUAUAUGGAAGAACACCAGUGGCGAAGGCGGCUGUCUGGUCUGUAACUGACGCUGAGGCUCGAAAGUAUGGGUAGCAAACAGGAUUAGAUACCCUGGUAGUCCAUACCGUAAACGAUGAAUGCUAAGUGUUGGAGGGUUUCCGCCCUUCAGUGCUGCAGCUAACGCAUUAAGCAUUCCGCCUGGGGAGUACGGCCGCAAGGCUGAAACUCAAAGGAAUUGACGGGGGCCCGCACAAGCGGUGGAGCAUGUGGUUUAAUUCGAAGCUACGCGAAGAACCUUACCAGGUCUUGACAUACUAUGCAAAUCUAAGAGAUUAGACGUUCCCUUCGGGGACAUGGAUACAGGUGGUGCAUGGUUGUCGUCAGCUCGUGUCGUGAGAUGUUGGGUUAAGUCCCGCAACGAGCGCACCCUUAUUAUCAUUUGCCAGCAUUAAGUUGGGAAAUCUGGUGAGAMUGCCGGUGACAACCCGAAGAAGGUGGGGAUGAC
rnacentral:rRNA from 1 species